CCUACGGGAGGCUGCAGUAGGGAAUCUUCCACAAUGGGCGAAAGCCUGAUGGAGCAACGCCGCGUGAGUGAAGAAGGUUUUCGGAUCGUAAAACUCUGUUGUAAGGGAAGAACAAGUACAGUAGUAACUGGCUGUACCUUGACGGUACCUUAUUAGAAAGCCACGGCUAACUACGUGCCAGCAGCCGCGGUAAUACGUAGGUGGCAAGCGUUGUCCGGAAUUAUUGGGCGUAAAGCGCGCGCAGGCGGUCCUUUAAGUCUGAUGUGAAAGCCCACGGCUCAACCGUGGAGGGUCAUUGGAAACUGGGGGACUUGAGUGCAGAAGAGGAAAGUGGAAUUCCAAGUGUAGCGGUGAAAUGCGUAGAGAUUUGGAGGAACACCAGUGGCGAAGGCGACUUUCUGGUCUGUAACUGACGCUGAGGCGCGAAAGCGUGGGGAGCA
rnacentral:rRNA from 1 species